UACGUAGGUGGCAAGCGUUGUUCGGAAUUAUUGGGCGUAAAGGGCGCGUAGGCGGUUUGUUAAGUCGGCUGUGAAAGCCCGGGGCUCAACCCCGGAGGGUCAGCCGAUACUGGCAGACUAGAGUACGGAAGAGGUAGCUGGAAUUCCCGGUGUAGCGGUGAAAUGCGUAGAUAUCGGGAAGAACACCCGUGGCGAAGGCGGCUCUCUGGGACGGUACUGACGCUGAGACGCGAAAGCGUGGGGAGCGAACAGG
rnacentral:rRNA from 1 species